rnacentral:lncRNA from 1 species
UUCAAGCCAGGUAUAUGUAUUUCCUUUCUAAUUUUUGUCCGCAUUUCAUUAAUUUUAGUUUAAACUUUGAACAAUUGAAAUAUAUUUUUGAGCAAAAAAGAAGACAGUGAAUAGGUGUUUAGGUAUGUCCUACGAUGUUUUCUCUCUAGGCCUCUCAUGUAUCUUUUAUACCCCAAAUAUUCCAAUUUUGUCCUUGCUAAAAACUUCGGUUCGCAAAAACCGAAGUUUUUUCUAGUUCAAAUUCAGGGAAAAUUCGGUUAACAGAAACCGAAUUUUUUUUUCAAGGCAAAAAAAAAUCGGUUCAUAGCAACCGAAGUUUUUUUUGAAGGGCAAAAAAGUAAAAUCCAAGGGGGGAAGAACCAUGGGGGGCCUAAAGAGAAAACAUCAUGUCCUACUGGUGUUUGCUUAUUUCUGGUUUUUAACAUGUUCAAAAUCUGCCUCUGCUGCCUUGUUUCUAGUUUUUUAGUUGACAGUUUUUGCCCUCGACGUUGGAUCGCUUAUAAGUUGCCUGUCUUGGUGUUUUCUGGUGGUGUUGCGGCUGCGUUUGUCCUCUUGCUAUGUGCAGCGACAUUGCAUUUUUGCUGCUAGUUUUUUAUUUUUAUUUUGUUGUAAUGUCCUAUAUUGUUUAUGAGAUUUAUAACUAGUUUUUGGAUCAAUAUAUGUUUUGGCCAUUUAGAAAUAUAUGAUUCUAGUGUUAUAGUCCCGUCAAUAUGGAGUCUUCGUUUGUAUAUGUUUUGGCCACUUAGUCUUGUGUGAUUCUAGUGUCAAUAUUAGUGACUGGAUUGUGUUGUAACAAAUGGAUUGUGACUAUGUAUUUGAUUAUGAUUAAUGAAAAUCAAAGGUAUUUAUUUUUUAAAUUCCAGAGAAUGUCGAANNN